rnacentral:rRNA from 1 species
AUUGAACGCUGGCGGCAGGCCUAACACAUGCAAGUCGGGCGAGCGGCGGACGGUUUACUAAUGUAUUGGGAUCUGCCUGAUGGCUGGUGAUAACUACUGGAAACUGUAGCUAAUACCGCAUACCAUCAGAUGAACCCAUAUGGGAUUAGCUAGUAGGUAAGGUAACGGCUUACCUAGGCGACGAUACCUAGCUGGUCUGAGAGUAUGAUGAGCGACACGGGAAAUGAGAAAAGGACACGGAGCGUUUGGGCGGGGGCAGUGGGGAAUAUGGAACAACGGGUGAAAGCCUGAUAAAGCGAUGCCGGGUGUAGGAAGAAGGAAAACGGGUUGUAAAGUACUUUCAGUCGGGAGGCGUUACAUAUAGAAGAAGCACCGGGUAAUGCCGUGCCAGCAGCCGCGGUAAUUC